GAUGAACGCUGGCGGCGUGCCUAACACAUGCAAGUCGAACGGAAAGGCCUGCUUUCCCUUGCGGUGAGCGUGUAGUCGAACGGCGAACGGGUAAGUAACACGCCAAUCAACUGGACCCGACUUGGGUAUGAGACCGGGAAACAGUGUCUAAUUCCCGUUAGGACUGCAGGGUGCAACCGUGGGAGGCGAACGUUUUUCUACUUGUUGGGGAUGAGCUCGCGGAUUAUCAGCUUGUUGGUGGGGUGAUCGACUACAAAGGCGGCGACGGGUAGCCGUAGUGAGAGGGUGGACGGUCACAUUGGGACUGGGACACGGCCCAGACGGCUACGGGAGGCAGGAGUGGGGAAUAUUGGACAAUGGGCGGAAGCCUGAAGCAGCGAGGGAGCGAGGGGGAUGACGGCCUUCGGGUUGUAAACUCCUUGCGACGGCGAGGAAGCCACCUGGUUGGAAGGGUGGUGACGGUAGUGGUAGAAGAAGCACCGGCUAACUACGUG
rnacentral:rRNA from 1 species